AAGGAGCAGUAUACUAAUUCAGAUAAACUGAAUAUAAUUUGGUUCCCUGCUGAGCAGGUAGUAAAUUGCUUCUCUGUAGAAGUGACCGUGUCCUGUUUUAUAUGUCAGUCAUUUAUAUUUGUGAUUCAUGGUUAUUUAAGAAUCUGUAUUGAAAGAAGAUUUUAGAAGGAGAUCCAGAGGAAUAACUCACCAAAAGAUAAAUGUGAAUGAAAACAACGUGUUUUGUUCCAAGUUAUUUUGUCAUAACACAGGGUCUGUCCAAUGGUUUGUUGAAUAUCCCACAAGCCCAGUAUUAGGGGAAAAACAUGAAGCUCCAUUUGAACCCUUCAGGAACUAAAGUUGUAAUUGUUUUAGAGUUUUCAGUAGGCCACAUCCCACAGCACAAUGAGAAAUCUGGCACAAUAAUUUGUAGUUUGCCAUUCCUGAAUGAUGCCAAAAGGCUUAACGUUGUCCCAGCAAAAAGCUCAACUUGAAAAAGAGUGAACCUGGAAAUAAGUUAUCCCUGGUCCCAGCAGUCUGAGCUGUGGAAGGUGACAAAAGGCAAAAGGAAGCACAAGUGCUGCAGAGCAGGAAUACCAGAAGGAGGGGCUCAGGAGCCAGGAAAAGAAAAGUGGAUCUUCUACAAAAUCAGGUGAAGGAGGAAAAAUCCAAAAGAAAUCCAAGCAUUAUACUUUGCCAAAUGGGAACUGAACCUGAGUGCACAAAUCUGGAUUUGGUGGUGAAUGCUAAGAACUUCCCUGAUUACGUUGUUCCUACAAUCCCCAGCAGCACAGGAUGUUGGUGGAGAACUCUGCCCGUCCCUCGGAAGCAUAAGGCAGACAGCAAAACCAAAGAGCUCCUGACAGGUACCUGCACUGCUUCCGCAACUUAUGUUGAGUUUAUAAGCUAAGAAGAAAAUCCCUUGAUACUGAAAUCCUAAAAAAACCUCCAGAUGUUUGUACAUCAGUCGUCCACUUUAAACUGGACAGUGUGAACAGCAAAGGGAGCUAAGCUACAAAAAUAUAAGAAAAUGAAUUAUUCAUAAAAGUGUUAUAUUUGUACUGAAGUAGUAUGACAAAACAUUUUAAAGCAAAGGUUAUGGAUUGUGGUAUCAGCAUAUGAUUAUACUGUAAGAGUGAUUUAACUAAUUCCAGUUCUACCAGAUAUGAGCAUCUAUACUGGAAUUACGCAGACGUGCUAAAUUUUUACUUCCCCGUUUUAUGCAUAAAAUGUUAAAGCCUAAGUGUCCAUUUUGAGUUCUCCUUAAACAUGAUGUCUUAACAUACUUCAUUGACUUGGAAGAACUGCAAACAAUAGUAUGUGGUAACUACCUGCAGUCCAAGACAUUACUCGGCUCUGGUGGAGACGUUGUUGGCUGGAAGUCUGCUGGGGCGUCCCAUGCUGGCAUCUGUCGAAAUGCCUUAACUUACCGCCUGAACACACGGCCCCGGCGCUCCGGGAGCACAGGAGCGCGG
rnacentral:lncRNA from 1 species